rnacentral:tRNA from 1 species
GGGCGCAUAGCGCAGUGGUAGCGCGUCCGCUUUGCAAGCGGAAGGCCUCGGGUUCAAUCCCCGGUGUGUCCA